rnacentral:lncRNA from 10 species
CUAGUUUAAAUUUUUUCUGAGGAACCUGUAACUUUCAGAAAAUUACUACAAUGUACACUGUUGAAACUUAACAUAUCAUUACUUUAUUGUGACUCAAGAUUAUUUUCAUCUGUAUUAAAUUAAGUAUUUGCAAAAUGCAACAUAGGAAUACUUAAUAACACUGUAAUAACUCUAUCAUCUCCCCAUAAUUUAUGCAAAAAUUUUAAGUUUUUCCCCCAUCGUCACCUAAGACAUUUCUAAUCUUUUAUAAUUAGUUGACUCACUUUCAUAUAGUACCAAUUAAUAUUAGCCUAAUGAAACUAAGUCAAAUAUGGCCAAAAAUAAUCAUCAUGCAUUUACAAAACAAUAUUAUUUGCCAGUCAGAGUCAACUUUUA